UGGGGAAUAUUGCACAAUGGGGGAAACCCUGAUGCAGCGACGCCGCGUGAGCGAAGAAGGUUUUCGAAUCGUAAAGCUCUGUCCUAUGAGAAGAUAAUGACGGUAUCAUAGGAGGAAGCCCCGGCUAAAUACGUGCCAGCAGCCGCGGUAAUACGUAUGGGGCGAGCGUUGUCCGGAAUUAUUGGGCGUAAAGGGUACGUAGGCGGUCUAUUAAGUCAGGUGUGAAAGCGUGAGGCUUAACCUCAUUAAGCACUUGAAACUGAUAGACUUGAGUGAAGGAGAGGAAAGUGGAAUUCCUAGUGUAGCGGUGAAAUGCGUAGAUAUUAGGAGGAAUACCGGUGGCGAAGGCGACUUUCUGGACACAAACUGACGCUGAGGAACGAAAGCGUGGGUAGCAAACAGG
rnacentral:rRNA from 1 species